rnacentral:lncRNA from 1 species
UGGUCCCUGGGCCAGUGAAAGCAGACUGAGCAAGCAGUGAAGCAAGAGAGCACGCAGCUCUUCUCCAUGGCUUCUCUUAGUUCUCGCCUCAGGCUCCUACCUUAAUUUCCCUCAGCGAUGGACAGUUAGUUACUGGCAGCGAGAAGGUGCGAUAACCUUUCCUCAUGUCUGUUUCAGUCAUGGUGUCUUAUCACAGCAGACAGAACGUCUUUCCAAUAUUUGCUCCAAAGCCUCAGCUCGAGUAGAGCAGCAGCAAUAAAUCGAGGCAUUCUGGUGUGAGGCCUGGGAGUGGGGUGAAAGUAACUCUUCCAGCCUCUCCAGCUGAUGGGGCAGCUUCAUUCUGCCCUGAGGGGCCCAUUGAGGCUGGAGAACUAACAAGUCUCUUAAUACACGUGGAUGCUCUCCAUCCACCUGGUUCUAAUUCUUGGUCCCGAUUCUGCCUCCAGGACACUGAGUCCUGGUGUCUGUGCAAAAGAGUUGCCUGCUCCAGAUGGAUGGGUACAUUGAGUGCUCAGCUCAUUUCACCCUUGGGGCUUCCUGUGAAGCAAAGUGGAUUAAAGAGUCCCCCCCCUCACACACACCCCAGAGUUACUCCUAAACCCCAUACCUGCAAGCGUGAUCCUAUUUAGUGUCCACAGAGGCCAUUAAGGAUCUGAGGAUGUAGUCAUCUUACAACAAGGACAGUCUGUAUGUAAUCUACUGCCAGGGUCUAAAUGAGAAAGGAAAGAAGCUCUAAGCCAGACACAGGGAGAAGGCCACCUGAGACCCAAGAAGACCAGAGAUGUGUACCAUAAGGGGGAGCCACCUGGAGCUGCAGAGGUGAGGGAGGCUCCUGCAGCCUGUGCCCCUCCCUCACAUCCUUGGUCCUCAGAGUCCUUGCAGCUAGAGGGGUCCUAUUCUGGAUAACUCAGGCCCCAUCUAGCAACUUCGACACCCCUCUGCAACUAACUGGGUGUCUAGCCCAGCCCAGACAGGUUAAGGUCACUCUGCAUUCUGUGAAGAAAAGACCUGCAGCCCAACAUGAUAGUGUACCAGUUUGUUUCUCUGUUGAUGGGAUAAAACACUGAUCAAAAGCAA